rnacentral:misc_RNA from 1 species
AAGUCGUAACAAGGUUUCCGUAGGUGAACCUGCGGAAGGAUCAUUCAUGUGAAUUUUAAAAAAACACACAUACUUCUUGUGAACUUAGUAAACUAUGACUGCUUGCUUUUUUUUAUAUAUGGUUUUAUGUUUUUGUGGGCUGCGUUUUUACUAUUUGCUGAGGGGUUUUUGUUAGCUGCUUUGUCUGAAUUGCAACCGAUAAAAACUCUCUAGUGUAAAAAUGAAAAAUGCUACCUAAUGAUUUACCAACAGUUUUUAUUUUAUAAAAGAACAAAAGAUUUGUAAAAAUAUUUAUUACAACUUUUAACGAUGGAUCCCUCGGCUCUCA